rnacentral:rRNA from 1 species
AUUGAACGCUGGCGGAAUGCUUUACACAUGCAAGUCGAGCGGCAGCGCGGGGCAACCUGGCGGCGAGCGGCGAACGGGUGAGUAAUGUAUCGGAACGCGUCCUGUCGUGGGGGAUAGCCCGGUGAAAACCGGAUUAAUACCGCAUACGAUCGAGAGAUGAAAGUGGGGGACCGCCACGCCUGAGGCAGAAGGAGCGGCCCAUAUCUGAUUAACCAGUGGGUGGGGUAAAGGCCCACCAAGGCUUCGAUCAGUGGCUGGUCUGAGAGGAUGAUCAGCCAGACUGGGACUGAGACACGGCCCUGGAUCCUACGGGAGGCAGCAGUGGGGAAUUUUGGACAAUGGGGGCAACCCUGAUCCAGCCAUUCCGCGUGAGUGAAGAAGGCCUUCGGGUUGUAAAGCUCUUUUGUCCGGGAAGAAACGGUUUUGGCUAAUAACCAAGACUACUGACGGUACCGGAAGAAUAAGGACCGGCCAACUACGUGCCAUCCGCCGCGGUAA